rnacentral:rRNA from 1 species
UGGGGAAUAUUGGGCAAUGGAGGCAACUCUGACCCAGCAACGCCGCGUGAGGGAAGAAGGUUUUCGGAUUGUAAACCUCUGUCCUAGGGGACGAAGAAAGUGACGGUACCCUAGGAGGAAGCCCCGGCUAACUACGUGCCAGCAGCCGCGGUAAUACGUAGGGGGCGGGCGUUGUCCGGAAUUACUGGGCGUAAAGGGUGCGUAGGCGGUUUGGUAAGUUAGAUGUGAAAUCCCCGGGCUUAACUCGGGAGUUGCAUUUAAAACUGCUGAACUAGAGUGCAGGAGAGGAAAGCGGAAUUCCUAGUGUAGCGGUGAAAUGCGUAGAUAUUAGGAGGAACACCAGUGGCGAAGGCAAGCUUCUGGCCGAUAACUGACGCUGAGGUGCGAAAGUGUGGGGAUCAAACA